rnacentral:lncRNA from 1 species
GCAAACAAAUCUGCAUGGCAGCGCCAACGGAUCAGGAAGGAGAUGGUGUCAGACCCUCGCAGCAAUGUGGUAGCCUCCGAACAGCCACGAAGGCAGCUUUGAAAAUGUUGAGGACUAUGACCUUCUGUUAUGACGCUAGUCUUAAGAGGCAAAUGACCUGUGUUACCACAGAUCCCUAUAUGGUGUGGUUUCCAGGAAUGCAUUGUGGACAUAAACAAGGACAGCCUGUACCGUUCCAGGAAAUGGAAGUGAAACAGACCAGCAUUUGAGUGACACUGAAAUGGAUCCCGCAAACACACUGGAUCAGGGUUGUAUAAUUUAAUACAAUUAUUUGUAAACUGGAGGCCGAGACUUAUUAUAUAAAAAUGGCAUAUAGUGGAUAUGAAAGAGAAAGAAGUGUGAGUUGGAGUGAAUCUGGUCAGCGGAACUGUAUCUUUGUUGCACAAAAGGUAUGAAUAUAAUUUCUUUUUCUUGGCUGGCCUAGGGUGGCUGCAAGAUGAGUGGCUCUGAUAGCCAAGCAGAUGACAAAAAAUAUAUUUUUCAAAAAUCUUCCAAUAAUACUAUAGGGCUCUGGUAACAUAAUUUUAAUAGUCUACAUGACUCUAGAAAUAGAAAUACCAUCGCUUCUCAAAAGGAAAAACUAAAAUGAAAAUUCUAGUUCUUGUGAGAAAGUGCUAGAAGUGAUCACUUAAAAACAAACAAACAAACAAACAAACAAACAAACAAAAAAGGGGCUCCUGGCUGGCUCAGGCAAUACAGCAUGUAGGACUCUUGAUCUUGGGUCAUGAGUUCGAGUCCCAUGUUGGGCAUAGAGAUUACUUUACAACAUUUAAAAAAUCAAACAAAAAACAGAAGUAUGUUGCUAUUUUUUUUAAUUAAUAUUGCUCCCUGAACACAAAAAUAAGAUAGUAUUGCAAAAAUGACUAUAAAACUGUGAGGCCAUUAGGGGUAGCUGAACUGAAAUAUCAGAACACUUUUGUUUCUUUAAAACAAAACUUGGGGGAAAAAAAAACUAAACUAGAAUGUUGGAGUAAAAUUUUUUUUCAAGUUAUGACAUAUUUUAAAUAUAUAAUGAAUACCCAUAUACUUGCUACUUAGCUUGAUCGAAUCUCAACAUUUUCUCUAUCUGUUUUGGAUUUAUUGUUUUGUAAAAGAAAUGGAACAGUUUAAGUUUCCUGUAUCUUUCCUUCCACCCUCUCCAGAAAUAACAUGUUAAUGAACUUGAUAUUUAUUUCCAGGAAUUUCUUUAUAAUUUGAUAAACAAAUAAAUACCCAUAAGCAACUUGCUUAUCAUGUUUAUAAACUCUAUAUAAAUUGUAAGAUAAUGUAACAUGAGAAAAACCAUACUUACUUAUUCAUUCAACUAUUUUAGAAUAUUUAAGUUCUUUCCGAAUCUUUGCUGUUACAAAAGAUGUUGCUUCUAUAAUAUAUCCAGAAGUGGAACUGCUGGCUUGUAGAAUAUGAACACUUUGAAUCUUACUUAAUAUUGACAAAUUGCCCUAUAGAAUGAUGACAAGUUACAGUCUACCAGGAGUUCCAGUUUCUACCCAUUAGCACAAAACUCAGUUAAGAGAUUUUUAAAUUUUCAUCAGUGUGGUUUUAAGUUGCAUUUUUAAAAUAAUAGUUAACUUAAAUAUCUUUUCCUAUGUUUAUUGGCCAUUUAGCUUUCCUGUGCUGUAAAUAGAUUGUCCACUUUUAUGUUAGAUUAUUCAUUUAAAAAAUUUACCUGUAAGAAGUACGUAUGUAUUUUUUUCUGUAUUGCAUGUGUCUUGGUCCAAGGCUUGUCUUUCCUCUUGGUGAUAUUUUGAAACAUGAAUGUGUUUCAAAACACAUGGGAAAAUUUAUUAAUUUUGUUUUGUGCUUUGGUAUCUUAUAUGAGAAAUUCUUGCCUAUGCUGAGAUGAAAAAAAAACAAAAAAACCCCAAACCCCAUAAACGCUAUAUUUUCUUCUUACAGUUUUAAAGCUAUGGUUGAAAAUACCUAGAUCUUUAGUUGUCCUGAAAUUUAUUUUGGCUCAUGUGAGAUUAAGAUUUAACUUUAUUUAAAUUUAGUGUUUUCCCACAUGAGUAACCACCUCUGUCUUUGAUUUUGGGGAUGCCACCAUGGAUUUUUUUUUUUCUUGGAUCUCUACUUUAUUUCAUUGGUCAGAUAAGGCAAGUUACCCCCUACCUCUGCAUUGUUCUUCUUAAACUUCUAUUUUAAAUUAUGUGUUAUUAUAUAUGAAUUAUAUAUGGAUUCUUAAUUUUGAGUUUAAUAGCCACUUGUUAACUUACACAAGCAAUUGUAUUGGUAUUUUAACAGGAACUGUAUUUUUUAAAUUGUAUUUAAUAUGUAGAUUAAUCUGGAGAAACCAACAUUUGUAUAUUAUUUAGUAUUUCCAUCCAUGAACAUUGUAUAUCUCUUCAUUUAUUUCAGGACUUUUGAAUGCUGUUUAAUAAUGUUUGACAAUUUUCUAUAUAAAGCACAUCUUUUGUUAGAGCUAUUCCUGAGUACUUUAUAUUAUUUGUGCUUAUUGUGAAUGGGAUCAUCUCUUAUGUUUUUCCAAAUGGUUACUGUGAAUACAUACAUAUAUAUAUAUAUAUAUAUAUAUAUAUAUAUAUACACACAUACAGUAAUGCUUUUGAUUUUUGCAUGCUCAUCUUGAGAAGAAAGCUUUUAUGGCCAAGUUGCAAUAUUUACCAGCACAAAUUUUUAUUAAAUAAAUUUGACAUUCAUUCCAAUUCAGCUAAAGUCAUGGUUGUCUAAUGGUUGUUUAAAGAUGAGUUAAUAAUGACCUGCACAAGAAAAAAACAUUACCUGUCUAGGAGUGCUGACAAAAACAUUGCCGAUCUGUUGCUUUAAGAUCAUUACAUUUUAAUAGAUCCAAUUUGGUGAAGACUUAACAACUCCAUCUAGUGGUAGUUUGAAGUUCUAAGUGAAUUGGCAAAUGCACUUCCAGGUUUUACUGGAUAG